CCAUGGAGGCUGAAGCUGCAGGCUCCCCGGCCUGGGCAGAGGCUGCAGUGACAGAUUUGCACGCUGUGGCUGCUGCCAUGGCUGCUCAGUGCCCCCCGUAGAGCCCAGGGCCCGCAGGCCCAUCCUCCCCUCAUCUAACAGAGACCGAACAUCAGAGGCACAGCUCGGUGGGGAGAAAAGGGGGAGAAGCUUUAAACAUUGCCAGGUCAGCACAACAGGAGACAGAUACAAGUUCAUUGAGAUGAGGCCAGCCCUAAGCUCCUGAGGACAGUCUGAGGUAUUCCCCAGUAAAGAACAAAUACCAAUGAGCAAGCUCACGGGAAACACCAUAUUUUGUGGGCAGUCGCAUGUCCUGAAGGAAAGGGGACCCAGAAGUGUUGUGAACUGCCAUGCCUGGAGUAAGAGGAAGUUUAGCUCCAUAUUAAAGGUUUCUACACUUUGCUCUUUCCUAAAUUAAAAGCAGUGAUGACCUUAA